CAAAUAUUAUACGCUGGUAAUAAUUUCUCCCAAAGGCCAAAACCCUAACUUAAUCACUAUCCCUCUUUUUUCAGCCAAGCAGCCACCAUCUCCAUUCUCCAGUCUGACGGUAUCCCUCUUCAGUUCUUCCUCACCGGGAAACGCUUAAGUCGCCGGAAAAAGAAGCCAGGGAAUGGAAGGUGAUGAAUCUGGAUACGAAUCUUCAUUUCCUUGCUCAACUCCUUCUACAGCUUCUCCGUCUCCUUCUCAAGUUCGCAAUGGAACACAUAUGCAUCAUGUAAACUUCAAAAAUUGCAACUAUCAUUUGUAAUAUUAUUGGAUAAUUUAUUUAUUGUAGUGCAGAUUAUAGUUGGAUA